rnacentral:rRNA from 1 species
AUGCUCGGCCGGAGUGGAGGAGUGGAGAGGAUUUGUGAUGGGUCGGGUCCUUGCGAGUUAAGUAAGUGUGCGUGCGACGGUGCGAACGGGCGCUCGAGUGGGAACGUGGGCUCUGCGCGUCUACUACGUGGAGGCCACCGCUGCUCUUCUGCUCCUUCUUCUGCUGCUCCGGGACUCUGUGGACGCCGUGCUACGUGCCGCCCUGUGAUGUGUCCGUGUCUCCGGACGGACGGUGCGAUCGGUGGACACGCCUCAACUGUGGCAAUGUUGGGGAUACGCCGGCUCGCGCGCCCGAGGCUAAAGUCCGGCUAUUUAAGCCGCACGGCUUCCCCUAGCCCUAGUCACAUCUUCUUCAUCCUCCUUUGCGCCUCCGGUCUGAGCCCAUCCAUAUCUCUUCGUCUCUGUCUCCCUCUUUCCUCGCCGCCUGUCUUCGUCAUGGCCCAGUAG